rnacentral:lncRNA from 1 species
CCCGAUGGGAGGCCGCACAGAGAGUUGCACUAUCCGAGCUACAUCUUGAUUUCCAAACACAGCUCGAUGAGUUUGAGUGAUAGGUUACAACUUAAUUUAUAAAGACAGAUGCACCAUAUCUAGCCUAGAUGAGAGAGGAGUUUGAUAUAUUACAAGUAGAGGUACGAUCUCUUACAAAGAACCACAUAAUAACCACUCCCCCGGUUAUGCCCUUAGUGGUCUAGAUAUUAUCUCUGUGCAUACCUAGAUAGUUUUGUUUCUUCAUAGAGGUUGUUAAAGAGGUCCCAGUAGUUAGNNNN